rnacentral:rRNA from 1 species
CCUACGGGGGGCAGCAGUGAGGAAUAUUGGUCAAUGGCCGGAAGGCUGAACCAGCCAUGCCGCGUGAAGGUCAGUGCCCUAUGGGCGUUAAACUUCUUUUGUGCGGGAGCAAUAAUGGUCACGUGUGGCCAGACGAGAGUACCGUACGAAUAAGCAUCGGCUAACUCCGUGCCAGCAGCCGCGGUAAUACGGGGGAUGCAAGCGUUAUCCGGAUUUAUUGGGUUUAAAGGGUGCGUAGGCUGUGAGGUAAGUCAGCGGUGAAAUGCCCCCGCUCAACGGGGUGAAGUGCCAUUGAUACUGGCUGGCUGGAAUGCGGAUGCCGUGGGAGGAAUGUGUGGUGUAGCGGUGAAAUGCAUAGAUAUCACACAGAACACCGAUUGCGAAGGCAUCUCACGAAUCCGCGAUUGACGCUGAUGCACGAAAGCGUGGGUAUCAAACAGGAUUAGAUACCCGGGUAGUC